GCUUCUCUUGAGAGCGGCGGACGGGUGAGUAAUGCCUAGGAAUCUGCCUAGUGGUGGGGGAUAACGUUCGGAAACGGACGCUAAUACCGCAUACGUCCUACGGGAGAAAGCGGGGGAUCUUCGGACCUCGCGCCAUUAGAUGAGCCUAGGUCGGAUUAGCUAGUUGGUGAGGUAAUGGCUCACCAAGGCGACGAUCCGUAACUGGUCUGAGAGGAUGAUCAGUCACACUGGAACUGAGACACGGUCCAGACUCCUACGGGAGGCAGCAGUGGGGAAUAUUGGACAAUGGGCGAAAGCCUGAUCCAGCCAUGCCGCGUGUGUGAAGAAGGUCUUCGGAUUGUAAAGCACUUUAAGUUGGGAGGAAGGGUAGUAACUUAAUACGUUGCUACUUUGACGUUACCGACAGAAUAAGCACCGGCUAACUUCGUGCCAGCAGCCGCGGUAAUACGAAGGGUGCAAGCGUUAAUCGGAAUUACUGGGCGUAAAGCGCGCGUAGGUGGUUCAGUAAGUUGGAAGUGAAAUCCCCGGGCUCAACCUGGGAACUGCUUUCAAAACUGCUGAGCUAGAGUACGGUAGAGGGUGGUGGAAUUUCCUGUGUAGCGGUGAAAUGCGUAGAUAUAGGAAGGAACACCAGUGGCGAAGGCGACCACCUGGACUGAUACUGACACUGAGGUGCGAAAGCGUGGGGAGCAAACAGGAUUAGAUACCCUGGUAGUCCACGCCGUAAACGAUGUCAACUAGCCGUUGGAAUCCUUGAGAUUUUAGUGGCGCAGCUAACGCAUUAAGUUGACCGCCUGGGG
rnacentral:rRNA from 1 species